UUUAUUACAAACGAUUCAGUUUUAGAAUGUCAUACUUUGCUAUAACGCAAUUUAUAUACAACUUUCAGCAACGGAUCUCUUGGCUCUCGCAUCGAUGAAGAACGCAGCGAAAUGCGAUAAGUAAUGUGAAUUGCAGAAUUCAGUGAAUCAUCGAAUCUUUGAACGCACCUUGCGCUCC
rnacentral:rRNA from 1 species